rnacentral:rRNA from 1 species
UACCCGCUGAACUUAAGCAUAUCAAUAAGCGGAGGAAAAGAAACUAACGAGGAUUCCCCUAGUAACGGCGAGUGAAGCGGGAAGAGCUCAAAUUUGAAAUCUGGCGGCCUAUGGCCGUCCGAGUUGUAGUCUGGAGAAGCGUUUUCCGCAUCGGACCGUGUACAAGUCCCUUGGAACAGGGCGUCGCAGAGGGUGAGAAUCCCGUCUUUGACACGGACCGCCGAUGCCUUGUGAUGCGCUCUCGAAGAGUCGAGUUGUUUGGGAAUGCAGCUCAAAAUGGGUGGUAAAUUCCAUCUAAAGCUAAAUAUUGGCAAAAGACCGAUAGCGAACAAGUACCGUGAGGGAAAGAUGAAAAGCACUUUGGAAAGAGAGUUAAACAGUACGUGAAAUUGUUGAAAGGGAAACGCUUGAAGUCAGUCGCGUCCUCCGGGACUCCGCCUUGCUUUUCUGCUUGGUGUAUUUCCUGGGGUUUGACGGGCCAGCAUCGAUUUCGAUCGUCGGAGAAAGGCUUUGGGAAUGUGGCACCUUCGGGUGUGUUAUAGCCCUCGGUCAUAUGUGACGGGUUGGGAUCGAGGACCGCAGCACGCCUCUUUUGGCCGGGGUUCGCCCACGUAACGUGCUUAGGAUGCUGGCGUAAUGGCUUUAAGCGACCCGUCUUGAAACACGG